rnacentral:rRNA from 1 species
UCACUUUCAACAACGGAUCUCUUGGCUCUAGCAUCGAUGAAGAACGUAGCGAAGUGCGAUAAGUAGUGUGAAUUGCAGAAUUCCGUGAAUCAUCGAAUUUUUGAACGCAAAUUGCACUCUCUGGCAUUCCGGAGAGUAUGCCUGUUUGAGGGUCGAUA